GAAAGCGAUAGAGGGUUCGCGGUGCGAGGCACCCAAUGUGGGCCUUCUGCCGAAGAAGUAGGGGCGGGGGGAAGUUUAGGAGUUGAGGAAAGAAGAUUAAAGAGCGCGAGGAGAUCUCACAGACCAGUGGAAUACAUGCCUUUUGCAUAUGAAGAUCAGGUGACAAGUUAACUGUGUACCAGCCUCCAAAGCAAUACGCCCUUUCAUGUCACACAAAAAGUAUUAAGGAUUGCCCCUUGAGACUCUGAAGACUGAAGAGUGCCUGAUAAAUUGCAUGUCUGUCUGUGCCCCAUAGCUGCACAGAAAGAAAAGGAAAAGUGCAGUAGCAAAGUCAAGAGAUUAAAGCAACUCAAACAACUUUACAACUUGCCCACAUGAGAUAAUGACUGCCUGAAGUUACAUUUAGAGACUGAAAUCACUGCACCUUAAAAACAAAAGAUUGAACUGCACUGCAUUCCUUUCUGAAGACCAGAAGUUUGGGUUGGCUCAACAGAUUCCUCUGCUCCAGAUUCCAUGAGAUGAAAAUUAAGGUGUCAGAUGGCUGGCUUCUUAAGUAGAUGCUCUGGGAAGAAUCUGCUUCCAAGCUCAUUCAGUUCCUUGUGGUAGUAGGACUAUGAUCCCCAUCUCUUUAUGGCUGUCAGCAGGAGGACAUCCUUUGCUUCUUGCACACAGGUCCCUACAUCUCAAUGCCAGCAAGAGUGCCUUGAAUCACACUUGGAAUUUCUCCGGCUUUCCCCUCCCCCCCUUUUUUUCCCCAAAUUCCAGCCAGAAAAUGUUCUCUGCUUUUAAGGUAAUUAGAUUGGACCUAUCUGGGUAACCUAGGAUAUUCUCCCUAUUUUAAGGUCCACAAUCUUAAUUAUAUCUGCAAUGUCCCCAUUUCCAUGUAGUGUAAUGUUUUGCCAUGUACUAGAAGUUCUGGGUAUUAGAGAGUGGAUAGUUUUGGGGUGCAAUUAUUUUGCCUACUACAGAUGAAUUUUAGAAGAAUGGGUCACCUCUAUUAUAUAUUUCUAGAUAUAUUUCUAGAGUACUCUGAGUAUUCUUUUUUUGCUCUAGAAGUAGAGGAAAAGUCUCAGUAUGAACACUUACAAAAUCUGUUAGUACAUUUUCUCCUAACAGCUUAAAUAUUGAUCCUUAUAUAUCUCAUGGAAUUUGGCAAUAGUGGUUUUUUUUUUCCAUCUGAUAAAUAGAACACAAGAAACCAAGUUGACCAUUAGGAACUGAGCUAAACUAGAGCUUGUGGUACAGAUUUUAUUCAUGAGCGCCCUUUUAUUUUCCACAAAGCAUGCUAGAACCAUAGUGGUAACCCAACUGGGAAAGGGAAGUAAGCCAAGAUUGAGUGGGAAAUGGGAUUACUGAAAUAUUAGUAGAGAUGUUUUACAUGGAGGGCUGAGAUAAAUGCAGUUAUAACUUGCCAGGAAAUAGGAAAAUCUCAAGUCUCUCACUGAUAUCUAAAAAAGUGUGCUCUGGUAAGUGCAGGCAUGACACAAGGCAGAGUGAAAUUAGUCAGAUAGAUGGCAGCACUUCAAUUCAGGGAUUGGCAAGGUGGGCUAAGGACAUAGUGGUAGGAAUCCCAGUUAAAUAAGGACCUCAUUUUACAGCUGUAAUUAAAGAGGGAGGUUCUAGCACCCCAGGAAAAAGAGACCAGAAAUAAAUCUUUUGAUAAGUUUGAAGAAAGGACUAAGAAGAUCAAAAGGAAACAAGGUCAAAGGAAGGUAAGGGAGAAUAACUGGGGACAAGGUUCAUCUACACUUAAUAUUUUUGGGGGUGCCUGAGUAGCUCAGUUGGUUAAGUGUCCAACUCUUGAUUUCAGCUCAGGUCAUGAUCUCAGGGUCGUGAGAUCGA